ACUUUUAAAGGAUAAAAGUCUUCCAUUGACCUUAGGAGUCAAAAUUUGGUGCAAUUCCAAAUAAAAGU
rnacentral:tRNA from 1 species